UUUUCAGUUUCGCUCUCUUCGCUCUCAUCUAUCUCUUUGAAGGAUUUUGUCUCGUGUUUUCACACAACAGAGUUUCGUUCACAAAUUUUAUUUCAGAACCCUAGAAAUAGUUCAAGUUCCUUACUUCGAUCAAAAGGUUUUCAACUCUCCAAGUGGAGUGGUGGGCGGUGAAGGCGGGGUGGUGGAAGGUCGUUGAAGUGGUUGGGGUGUUCGGCCUUAAAGACGCGUUGGACUCAUUACUACGGUGUUAGAGUUGUUCGCUCUGACGGGCAUUGCAAGGGCGAGGGUGUUGUCUUGUGAAAUAAUCUGAAAGGACUCGAAAAGUUGGUUAUUCAUGGAAGAGACAGCAUAACAAAUGAAGCGUCCAUUUGGAAUUCCUGAAAAGCCAGAAUUCACUGUUGGGUUGGAUGAACCAUUGAAGAAGUUGAAAACGAAUGUUUUGAGCGAAGGUUUGUCCGUAAUGGUUUUGACCGGUGUGGGAGGAUCGGGGAAAACCACUCUGGCCACUAUGCUCUACUAUUGAACCAUAAUAACCUCUUAUUUCUUCUUAAGUGAGAGGAUGAAUUACAAGGAGCGAGUUCCAUCUUUAAUAUGCUUCUAUAUUCUGUUUUGGACAAUUUUGGUGUUUCACUUGGUGCUCAGGGUUUCUGGGAAUGCAGAAGGUGAUGCCCUUACUGCAUUCAAGAAGAAUAUGAUAGAUC